CUGAAGUGAUCUGCCCACCUCGGCUUCCCAAAGUGCUGGGACUGCAGGUGUGAGCCACUGCGCCUGGCCCCUUCAGGUGGGUUUUGAGGCUUCACGUUGCUGCUGCAAUAAAUUACCACACACUUAGUGGCUUAAAACAGCACAGAGGUAUUCCCUUACAUUUCUGAAGGCCAGAAUUCUAAAAUCAGUCCCACUGAGUCAAGGUGGGAGCAGGGUCAGUGCCUUCCCAGGCUCUGCGGGAGAAUCUGUUUCCUGGCCCUGGAGGCGGCCUGUACUCCUUAGCUUGUGCUGCCCUUCUGGAAUGACUCGAGUUUCCUGCUUUCAUCACUACACCUCCCACCGCUCUCCAUCACCUGCUGUGCUCUUACGAGGAUCCAGCUGAGACAUGUUUUAGGAAGUUUGCUAAAAGACCCCUGGAGACGUCCUCAUUGUGGCCUCCCUGCUGUUGUGUUUAAUUUGGUUGAUCUUCUCUGCCCUCCUGCUUUUCAGAAUUAAAAGGCUAAAAAGAGUUUUCAGAGAAAUGGAAUAAUUGUAUUGCUGAUCUACGUAAACAAGUUGAAGAAUUGUCUGAAAGAAAAUAUGGUGUGUCUGAACUGGAAAAGUCCUGUGAUAGUUUGUUCAUGAGCAUUUACACAAUGGAGUUACUGUUCAUCAUGGGGGUACUGUGGACAAGCCCAGGGCUGCUGACAUAAUCUUAUGAAUUCAACACAUGAAGAUUUACAACUUGAUAAACCAGCUUCAGGAGAUCAGAACUUCUUACAAUACAACUGAUGUUACUCAGCCUAGAACAAAUACAACAGGGAUUGUGCUGCAUUCUGACUUAGGUUCUGCCAUCGAACACAGAAUGCCCUGAUCCUUAGAGGCAGAGGCAGCUCUUCAGCCUAUGGGAAAACUGUGGAUUUAGUUACUCCACUCUGCCAUGUCCUUCCACCACUGCCUGCACAUUUGAGACCAAGGAUAGAGAUUGGGAAAAAUCCAUAGUUCUCCUGACUCAGAGUUUGGCUCCGGCACUCUCAUUUCAGCCAUAGCUGCAGACAAAGCACACGACUGCUGGGCACUGUGGCUCAAGAGAAGGGGGAGAUGCAGGAAGAAGAUGAGCCUUAAGUCUGAACACUGAGGAAUUCAUGUGCAUCAGUCAGACCUCCUGUGCAAGGAAGGAUGUGGUUACUACGGCAACCCUGCCUGGCAGGGUUUCUGCUCCAAGUGCUGGAGGGAAGAGUACCACAAAGCCAGGCAGAAGGAGAUUCAGGAGGACUGGGAGCUGGCGGAGCGACUCCAGUGGGAGGAAGAGGCCUUUGCCAGCAGUCAGAGCAGCCAAGGGGCCCAAUCCCUCACAUUCUCCAAGUUUGAAGGAAAGAAAACCAACGAGAAGACCCACGAGGUUACCACAGUGAAGAAAUCUUCAGUGCGUCUUCCAGGGUCGGAUCAAAGAAGGCAGAAAUUCAGGAAGCAAAAGCCAGUCCUUCCAUAAACCGGCGAACCAGCAUUGAAACGGAUAGAGUGUCUAAGGAGUUCAUAGAAUUUCUCAAGACCUUCCACAAGACAGGCCAAGAAAUCUAUAAACAGACCAAGCUGUUUUUGGAAGGGAUGCAUUACAAAAGGUGCCUCCAGAAAGGGUUGAGAAGAUAAUGGAUCAGAUUGAAAAGUACAUCAUGACUCAUCUCUGUAAAUAUGCGUUCUGUCCAGAACCCCAGUGAGCCUGGAAGACUGGGUGCUAUGGGAAAUGUCAUCAAUCCAAUGCUAGUGAAAGAUGUGACUGGGGAAUGCUGAAAAAUGCGCACCCCUGGGAGGAAUGAGGAAAGAUGACAUCCACUGACUUGUUAUUUUUUUGAGAAGGAGUCUUGCUCUGUUGCCCAGGCUGGAGUGUGGUGGCACGAUCUCGGCUCACUGAUGAUGAGAAGAAAGAUCUUGCCAUUCAAAAGAGGAUCAGAGUGGAAGCUUCUCUGUGGUGUCAGAAAGACGAGGAAUGUGGUGACCUCACCUAUCCAUCUCCCUCAAGGCAGCUUUUGACCUGAACUGGUUAUUUCCUACUUGCCUCCUGGAGUUGCUAAUAAAAUAAACACUAAAGCUUCGCAGUUUCUAAAAAGACCAUGAAGCCCUGAGAGUAAUGAAAAGGUUCCUGAAAUUGAGGUCACUGUGGAAGGAGAAUCUAAUGCCUGAUGAUCUGUCACUAUCUCCCAUCACCCCCAGAUGGGACCAUCUAGUUGCAGGAAAAGAAGGUCAAGACUCCCAGUCAUUCUACAUUAUGCCUCAGCCAAGAUGUCUCACCCCACUCUCUCUGAUGCAACAAGAAGCCCCUGGAGAACGUUUCAGUCCCAUUUUGUACUUCUGUCAUGUGCUCAUCACAGUCUGGUGGAAUUUAAAUGACCUCUUAUCAAGAUGGAUAAACCCAAGUUUCCCAGUGCUGGAAUAUAGAAAAUGGAUGGACAAGUAAGUCCCACUCAGCACCCAUAGCCCAGACAUGGGGACCUCAACACACCUGGGCCCCAGACAUCACCUUUCAUUCCGAGGCAUAUGCCAUUCAAGCUAAGGGUGCUACACUUGACCACUGCGGCAGUAUAGAUGAGUCUGAAGAAUGGUAUGGGAUGGAUACUUACGAAUGCACUCGAGCAGGGGUCUCCAUCCACAGGGCCACAGAGCCAGAGGUGAGCAGCAGCUGGAUCUACCAUGAAAGACUUCAGAGUCCAGGAAGAGAGACUGAUUGGGCAACAUGUUAUUCAGUUACAAAAAGACUUGGACUAUGACUCAAAAAUGAUCAAAUAAUAGUGCAUGCAUCCAAUGCAAUAAGAAGCACUUCUGGAGGGUGAGAGAAGCAUCCAGUUAAGGUGACAUUGAAGCUGGGUCCUGAAAGAUGAGGAAGAAUUGUAUGAGAGUGGGCAGAGAAGGGGGAGGUGGAGGGAUGGGGAAUGGGCUGAGAUGGAGUGAGCUGCUCAAGCAGGGAAACCAGCACUGUAAAGACCUGGUCAAUAAAGAUGGCACAUUUUAUUCAGGGAAUGGUGAAUUAAUUGUGGCAGGAAUGCUUUGGAGAGAGAGUAAUUUGCUUGUAUGGAAUUUUGCCCAAGAGACCUCAUUACAGUUUCUAAUCUUUUGAUGUUAUCGUCUAUCACUGUCCUUGUCAGAUAGUUUGGAAUAGGUAUAAUGAUCACAAUAACAUCAAGCAUAAUAUUUCAUUAAUUCUCACAAAAUCACAGGUAGGUGCCACAGUUAUCCCCAUUUUGUGAAUGAAGUGAUGAAGACUUAGGAAUGAUGAGUGAUUGCCCAAGCUCACCUGGAUAUUAAGAGGUCUUGCUCUGUUGUCCAGGCUGGAAUGUGGUAGUGCUAU
rnacentral:lncRNA from 1 species